rnacentral:lncRNA from 1 species
CUAGGGCUAUUCCAGUGCCUCCCAUCUCAGACUACACUUCACAUUUUGCAAAGCUAGGAUUACUCCUGUCUCAGACCACCGUCCACCGUCGACCAUCUAUUGUCGUUUAUUUCUCUCCACCACCGUUUGUUUGUUGGCUUCCUUGCUGUGACGCUUGCCCCUCGACACACUCGACCCUCACUUGUUUGUUGUUGUCCAAAAUAUCAGUAUCAAUUUCACGAUUUGGAACCCUAGCACUUGUACCAGCGGCUCGCAUCUCGACAUGUACCAGUGCCUCCUACUCAGAGCACAUACCUUGGUCUAUCGUUUGUCUUCUGGCCAAAACAUCAGGCAAAUAUUGAUUGGUUUUGUAGUUUCAUGA